rnacentral:rRNA from 1 species
ACGAAGGGGGCUAGCGUUGCUCGGAAUUACUGGGCGUAAAGGGAGCGUAGGCGGGUUAUCAAGUUGGAGGUGAAAGCCCAGGGCUCAACCUUGGAAUUGCCUUCAAAACUGAUAGCCUAGAGUAUGAUAGAGGUAAGUGGAACUCCGAGUGUAGAGGUGAAAUUCGUAGAUAUUCGGAAGAACACCAGUGGCGAAGGCGACUUACUGGAUCAUGACUGACGCUGAGGCUCGAAAGCGUGGGGAGCAAACAGGAUUAGAUACCCUGGUAGUCCACGCUGUAAACGAUGAUUGCUAGUUGUCGGACGGCAUGCCGUUCGGUGACGCAGCUAACGCAUUAAGCAAUCCGCCUGGGGAGUACGGUCGCAAGAUUA